rnacentral:rRNA from 1 species
CUACGGGAGGCUGCAGUAAGGAAUAUUGCGCAAUGGAGGCAACUCUGACGCAGCCAUGCCGCGUGCAGGAAGAAGGCCUUAUGGGUCGUAAACUGCUUUUAUUUAGGUAUAAACCCCCGAACGUGUUCGGGGCUGAAGGUACUAAACGAAUAAGCACCGGCUAACUCCGUGCCAGCAGCCGCGGUAAUACGGAGGGUGCAAGCGUUAUCCGGAUUUAUUGGGUUUAAAGGGUGCGCAGGCGGGCUAUUAAGUCAGUGGUGAAAUCCCGGGGCUCAACUCCGGAACUGCCAUUGAUACUGAUAGUCUUGAGUUUGGUUGAAGUGGGCGGAAUGUAGCAUGUAGCGGUGAAAUGCAUAGAUAUGCUACAGAACACCAAUCGCGAAGGCAGCUCACUAAGCCAAAACUGACGCUCAUGCACGAAAGCGUGGGGAUCAAACAGGAUUAGAUACCCUAGUAGUC